rnacentral:rRNA from 1 species
CACGUAGGGCGCAAGCGUUGUCCGGAAUUAUUGGGCGUAAGGAGCUCGUAGGUGGUUUGUUACGUCUGCUGUGAAAACCUAGGGCUUAACCCUGGGCUUGCAGUGGAUACGGGCAGACUAGAGGUAGGUAGGGGAGAAUGGAAUUCCUGGUGUAGCGGUGAAAUGCGCAGAUAUCAGGAGGAACACCGGUGGCGAAGGCGGUUCUCUGGGCCUUACCUGACACUGAGGAGCGAAAGCGUGGGGAGCGAACAGG